ACUCCUACGGGAGGCAGCAGUAGGGAAUCUUCCACAAUGGGCGCAAGCCUGAUGGAGCAACACCGCGUGAGUGAAGAAGGGUUUCGGCUCGUAAAGCUCUGUUGUUAAAGAAGAACACGUAUGAGAGUAACUGUUCAUACGUUGACGGUAUUUAACCAGAAAGUCACGGCUAACUACGUGCCAGCAGCCGCGGUAAUACGUAGGUGGCAAGCGUUAUCCGGAUUUAUUGGGCGUAAAGAGAGUGCAGGCGGUUUUCUAAGUCUGAUGUGAAAGCCCUCGGCUUAACCGGAGAAGUGCAUCGGAAACUGGAUAACUUGAGUGCAGAAGAGGUAGUGGAACUCCAUGUGUAGCGGUGGAAUGCGUAGAUAUAUGGAAGAACACCAGUGGCGAAGGCGGCUACCUGGUCUGCAACUGACGCUGAGACUCGAAAGCAUGGGUAGCGAACAGGAUUAGAUACCCCUGGUAGGCAAGCG
rnacentral:rRNA from 1 species